AGAUGGGACCUGGAAGAUACACCAGAAACAGAAGAAAAGGUUCUCAAAACUGCGAAAGGGCGAUAUAGAGGCUGGCGAUCAACUCUAAGCUCCACUUACAAGGCAUACAAAAUAGAUGCAGCUAGAUUGGCUCAUCUAUCGGAAGAUUUACAACCAGAAGAGUGAGAAUGGAUGAUUGAGUACUUUGGCACUGAUUCAAAAUUCUAGGUUAUCUCUAUGAUCACUGUUUGUCUACUAUGUGUAAAGAUGAAAUGGCUAGUCUCACGUUAUAUUUGGUUCCAAUUAAUUGAUAGGAUCGCAGCCAAAAGAACGCCGAUAACCGUAAGAAACAGAAGACAAAACACAGAAUCGGAUCAAAAUCUUACUCGCAAGUUAGUUUUGAGAAGGUAUGAGUCCAACUAA
rnacentral:rRNA from 1 species